GAUGAACGCUAGCUACAGGCUUAACACAUGCAAGUCGCGGGGUAACAUCUGGGAGAGCUUGCUUUUCCAGGACGUCGACCGGCGAAUGGGUGAGUAACGCGUAUCCAACCUUCCGUUAAGUAGGGAAUAGCCUUGCGAAAGUAAGAUUAAUGCCCUAUGUGGUGUUUUGAGGACAUCUGAAGAGCACCAAAGGUUUACCGCUUAACGAUGGGGAUGCGUCUGAUUAGGUUGUUGGCGGGGCAACGGCCCACCAAGCCUACGAUCAGUAGGGGUUCUGAGAGGAAGGUCCCCCACAUUGGAACUGAGACACGGUCCAAACUCCUACGGGAGGCAGCAGUGAGGAAUAUUGGUCAAUGGGCGUGAGCCUGAACCAGCCAAGUAGCGUGCGGGAUGAAGGCCCUAUGGGUUGUAAACCGCUUUUUCAGGGGGAUAAAGUGAGUGACGUGUCAUUCAUUGCAGGUACCCUGCGAAUAAGGACCGGCUAAUUCCGUG
rnacentral:rRNA from 1 species